UUCUAAUAUUAUGCCAUUGUGGUCUGAGGAGAUGAUUGGUAUGAUUUCAAUCUUCUUGAAUUUGGGGAGCUUUUGUUUAUGACCCAAUAUGUGGUCUACUUUGUAAAUGUC